CAAGAAUCAGAACCCCCGUCUACCCCCCUUUGUCUUCUUCCUCUUUCUAUUUUUUUUCUUUGUUCCUUCUUUGCUCCCAUCAGCUUUCAAUCCGCAGCUGCUCCUCAUUAACAAUCAUCGCCGUUCAUCUUUAAUCAUCGUCACGCAUCAUCAUCAUCAUCAACGUCGUCCAUCAUCCUCGUCCAAUUCAUUAACGAUCAUCAAUCAUCACCCACAAUCAUCGUCGUUCAUCAAUCAUCACCAUCCAAUCGCGGCCGUGGAAUUCGAAUAGUACGGCGAUGAAUCGAGGCCACCAAAACAAACCACCAAGGAAGUUAGGGUUAGAGCAUGUCCUCAAGAAAGAAUAAGUCGGUGAAGUAGGACAAGGGUAUGUCCAGUACGUUCUAAUCGGCCAACAAACACGGAACCUUGGUCUGUACUGUCUAACUUGGAUACGCUUGUAGAUGUUGUGAAGGGACUUUCACUAGACAAAAAGGAACUUAUUACUAAUUACGGUUUUGGAGCUUUGCAUGAAUUGAAAUGUAGAACUGUAAGAAAAUCAAUGUGCAAAUGGAUCAUAGACCGCUUUGAUCCGGACAGUAGCACACUAGCUAUCAACAAUGUUGAAACAGUUGUGGCUCCAAAGCAUGUAGAGUACCUACUUGGUUUCCAAGACGUUGGGUUUGAUAUCUUAGAGAAAGAACUUCCAGGUCAAUGGGAUGAAGAGUUCAUUUCCUUUGCCACUAAGACCUCUGCCGACUUGUCCACCGAUGUUAGGAGAUUGGAACACACGGAUAAGCUUUUCAAACAAGCUUUUACUAUGUUCUUCAUUGCAAAGUUUUCUCCACCUUAUAAAAGAUCCAGAGAGAGUGUACUGCACCUUAUUGCUCACCCACACAAUGUUGGUCCCUGGAAUUGGGCAAAGUUCAUUCUUGAAAAUACGUUGGCUGCAGUUGCAGGGUUUAAUGCUGCUGAUAGGAAAACUGAGUUGGGAGGGUACCCUCUAUUAUUGAUGGUAAGGUCCUGCCUCGUUACUCCCAGGUUACGUUUUGAGAUUUAGUUGGAUACCACCAACUGUGCAUAUGGUUAUGUCCAUCUAAUAUCUAACUAUAAUACUCACUAAUAUAUGACGAUGCAUUUGUCUUUCCAUGUGUAUGCUAGGGUCAGUUAAACUUUCAUAUGUUCUUUGUAGGCCUUGUUUUGUGAGUACUCUUACAAACUCAAUUGCCCCUUUGGAGUUAUGCAACACCUAGGAUUAGGGACUAGAAUGAUAAAUCUACCAAAUUGUUGGAUACUUUUGUUUUAUCCUCCCCGGAUGGCUACAUGACAGAGAACAUAAUGCAGUAUACCGAGGAAAGGAAGGCGGUGAUCACCAAGAAAGUGACCAUGGGCCAUGAUACAAAAAUAGAGUUCUUGUUUGUUCUUGUCAAAGGCAGGUGUGAAGGGCUACGAAAUAGUUUAAACUGAGUGUAUGAUGUGAUUGAGGCAAAGUCAAAAGGCGUAGGUGAAUACCGCGGUGGUGAAGACUACGAAGACACCAAUGUAGUUGAAUCCUCCCCUCCCGAAGAUGAUGAUGACCCCAACAACAAUCCAAGUGGGGUGGAAUGUAGGUUUCCAAUGGACGGGACGAGUAACCUCCCAAGGGAGGUGAAGAGUGCCGGUGGCAAGGCAGUGAACAACCCUGUGCGAAGACAGUUGCGGGAACUUAGCGCGGAGAGUAAAGAAGAUUACACUGAAACUGAGGAUGACACUGAGGAUAAACUUAGUCGUCUGAUAAGGAAAACACCUUUACUGCGUGGAAAGUUAUACUCAUAUCACGAGGAGGAGAAGGAAAAGGAGGACAAGCGGAGGAUUCGACAGGAAAAAGAGUGAGAUUUGAUACGCACGUGAAUGAGAUGUUUCAGGCUGACCCGGAUUCUGUCAUCAUUGCGACAAACGAUGAAGAUGAAAGCAAUGAGGAUGAUGAUGAUGCUACAAAAAUCGAUGACAUUGAAAACGAUGAAUAUCUCGUAAUAGAGUCUAAACCGGUGAAAACGAGUGAAAUAGUUACAAGGAAGAGGAAAACAUUAUCUUCUAUACUCGAAAAAAGAUCAUCAGGCGAAGCAAAGGUACCAAAUUAAAUUAGUAGUUCAUUGUAGUCCUUGGUAUAGUCUUGCUUAAAAUAAUAUAGGGAAGUGUCCUUAACCCUUAUGUACCCACCAAAGGAAAAGGGUCACAUCUAUAUUAAUAAUUUCUUGGUACAAUGAAUAUUUCAUGCUUUGGUAAGUGUCCUUUAACUUUAUUCGGUACCUACCACUACUAGAAAAAUGACAUUUAACGACGAACAAUUUCGUC